ACUCCAGAUAAAGACGAGGCUUUCUAC
rnacentral:sRNA from 1 species